rnacentral:tRNA from 1 species
GGCUAUAUAGUAUAAUGGUAUUACGUUAGACUGCAAAUCUAUAAGAAGUUGGUUCGAAUCCGACUAUAGCCU